AUUGAACGCUGGCGGCAGGCCUAACACAUGCAAGUCGAGCGGAGCGGCGGACGGGGAAGGAAUGCCUAGGAAUCUGCAUGGGAGUGGGGGAGAACGUCCGGAAACGGGCGCUAAUACAGCCUACUAUCAGAUGAGCCUAGGUCGGAUUAGCUAGUGGGUGGGGUAAAGGCCUACCAAGGCGACUAUCCGUAACUGGUCUGAGAGGAUGAUAAGUCACACUGGAACUUAGACACGUUCCAGACUCCUACGGUAGGCAGCAGUGGGGAAUAUUGGACAAUGGGCGAGAGCCUGAUCCAGCCAUGCCGCGUGUAUGAAGAAGGUCUUCGGAUUGUAAAGCACUUUCAGUUGGGAGGCGUUACCAACAGAAUAAGCACCGGCUAACUUCGUGCCAGCCGCCGCGGUAAUAC
rnacentral:rRNA from 1 species